GACGAACGCUGGCGGCGUGCUUAACACAUGCAAGUCGAACGGAAAGGCCCUGCUUUUGUGGGGUGCUCGAGUGGCGAACGGGUGAGUAACACGUGAGUAACCUGCCCUUGACUUUGGGAUAACUUCAGGAAACUGGGGCUAAUACCGGAUAGGAGCUCCUGAUGCAUGGUGGGGGUUGGAAAGUUUCGGCGGUUGGGGAUGGACUCGCGGAUUAUCAGCUUGUUGGUGGGGUAGUGGCUUACCAAGGCUUUGACGGGUAGCCGGCCUGAGAGGGUGACCGGCCACAUGGGGACUAAGAUACGGCGCAGACGCCGACGGGAGGCAGCAGUGGGGAAUAUUACACAACGGGCGCAAGCCUGAUGCAGCAACGCCGGGUUCGGGAUGACGGCCUUCUGGUGGUAAACCGCUUUCUCCUGUGAUGAAGCGGUAGUGACGGUAAUGGGUAAAGAAGCACCGGCUAACUACGUG
rnacentral:rRNA from 1 species